GACGAACGCUGGCGGCGUGCCUAAUACAUGCAAGUAGGACGCAGUUGCGAACGGGUGAGUAACGCGUAGGUAACUGCCUAUCAGAGGGGGAUAACUAUUGGAAACGAUAGCUAAUACCGCAUACUAGUAGAUGGACCUGCGUUGUAUUAGCUAGUAGGUAGGGUAAUGGCCUACCUAGGCAACGAUACAUAGCCGACCUUGUAGGGGGAUCAGGCAAACUGGGACUGGGGAAAGGGCCAGACUCCUACGGGGGGCAGCAGUAGGGAAUCUUCGGCAAAGGGGGGAACCCUGACCGAGCAAGGCCGCAUGGAUGAGGAAGGUUUUCGGGUCGUAAAACUCUGUUGUUAAGAAAGCGGUACUUAACCAGAAAGGGACGGCUAACUACGUGCCAGCAGCCGCGGUAAUAC
rnacentral:rRNA from 1 species